AACGAACGCUGGCGGCAUGCCUAACACAUGCAAGUCGAACGAGACCGUCGGGUCUAGUGGCGCACGGGUGCGUAACGCGUGGGAACCUGCCCUUAGGUUCGGAAUAACUCCCCGAAAGGGGUGCUAAUACCGGAUAAUGUCUUCGGACCAAAGAUUUAUCGCCUUUGGAUGGGCCCGCGUUGGAUUAGCUAGUUGGUAGGGUAAAAGCCUACCAAGGCGACGAUCCAUAGCUGGUCUGAGAGGAUGAUCAGCCACACUGGGACUGAGACACGGCCCAGACUCCUACGGGAGGCAGCAGUGUGGAAUAUUGGACGAUGGGCGAAAGCCUGAUCCAGCAACGCCGCGUGAGUGAUGAAGGCCUUAGGGUUGUAAUGCUCUUUUACCCGGGAUGAUAGUGACAGUACCGGGUGAAUAAGCACCGGCUAACUCCGUG
rnacentral:rRNA from 1 species